GACGAACGCUGGCGGCGUGCUUAACACAUGCAAGUCGAACGGCAAGGCCCUACUUUUGUGGGGUUCUCGAGUGCCGAACGGGUGCGUAUCACGUGUGUAUCCUGCCCUUGUCUUUCGGAUAACUUCACGUAACUGGGGCUACUAUCGGAUAGGAUCUCCUGUUGCAUUGUGGGCAGUGGAUAUUUUCGGCGUUCGGGGUUGGAUUCGCGGCUUAUCAGCUUGUUGGUGGGGUAGUGGCAUACCAAGGCUUUGACGGGUAGCCGGCCUGAGAGGGUGACCGGCCACAAUGGGACUGAGAUACGGCGCAGACGCCAACGGUAGGCAACAGUGGGGAAUAUUGCACAAUGAGCGGGAGCCAGAUGCGAAGACGCCGCGUGCGUGAAGACGGCCUUCGGGUUGUAAACCGCUGUCGCCUGAGACGAAGCGUGAGUGACGGUAAUGGAUAAAGAAGCACCGGCUAACUACGUG
rnacentral:rRNA from 1 species